CGUUAUUGGGAGGCAUUGCCUGCCCAGUGACAACUGUUUAACGGCCGCGGUAUCCUGACCGUGCAAAGGUAGCAUAAUCAUUUGUUCUCUAAAUAAGGACUUGUAUGAAUGGCCGCACGAGGGUUUUACUGUCUCUUACUUCCAAUCAGUGAAAUUGACCUUCCCGUGAAGAGGCGGGAAUGCACAAAUAAGACGAGAAGACCCUAUGGAGCUUUAACUAACCAACCCAAAGAGAAUAGAUUUAACCAUUAAGGAAUAACAACAAUCUCCAUGAGUUGGUAGUUUCGGUUGGGGUGACCUCGGAGAAUAAAAAAUCCUCCGAGCGAUUUUAAAGACUAGACCCACAAGUCAAAUCACUCUAUCGCUCAUUGAUCCAAAAACUUGAUCAACGGAACAAGUUACCCUAGGGAUAACAGCGCAAUCCUAUUCAAGAGUCCAUAUCGACAAUAGGGUUUACGACCUCGAUGUUGGAUCAGGACAUCCUGAUGGUGCAACCGCUAUCAAAGGUUCGUUUGUUCAACGAUUAAAGUCCUACGUGAUCUGAGUUCAGACCGGA
rnacentral:rRNA from 1 species